ensembl:lncRNA
GGUUGUCGUGAGAACUAAGUGAAACAACAUACGUAAAGUACUGAGAAAACUAUUAGGUUACAUAGCAGGUAUUCGACAAAGAUAGCUGUUUUAAUUAUUGUAGUUUUCUUUUUCAGGUCUAGGUCUCAUGUGGCAUUAUAACAGACUGCAAAAAAGGGUAACAAACAAAACAUCUGAAAAUUAAGGAAAAAAACCCAAAAACCAACCUCUUGAAAUUAAUUCUCGCUUCCAUGACAAGAUAGAAACCACAACUAUAAAUAGCUAGAAAAUAAUGAAAAUGAUAAAAACAUAUGGUAGAUCAAGGUGACUUCAAAGAAAAGAUCAUAACAUCAUGCAUUUUCACUACAAACAGAAAAGAAUAAAAUGUCUGUAAUAAGCACUCAAUACAAGAGGUUAACCAACUGCCUUCUGUUUUCUUUUUUUAAAAAGAUAAAAAUAGAAAUUAAAGCACAACCAGAAGGACCUACAACUAGAAUAGAGAACUAUGCACUGGGGGGUUUUGGGGAGAAGGAGGAAAAAAGAAGAAGAAAAAAGAAACUAAAGAAUUCUUUUUUAAAAAAGUAAAAUGGCAGCUCCAAAUGUUGGUAAGCUUUUUGAACAACAGACACACAGCUAUUGGUGGUGGAAAUGGAAAAAUGGUCUAACUGAGAGGUCUGAUAAAAGUGGAAGACGCACUAGCCUUGGCCCAUCAAGUCUCCUGGGUGAGCACCGCAGAGCAGACCCUCCCCACUGGUGUGCCGGGGCACGCGCUUGGGUAGGGAUUCAAAUGGCCACAACUUCCAAAGCCUCAUCUUUUAUCCUAGUGCAGAAAACAAGUACUCUCUUCUAUAUUAUAAUCUGUCUACAAGAAAAGAGUUGGUAUGCAACCUCUUCUAGUAUUUUUCUUGGAGUUCCCUAUUAGAAAGCUAAGUUUUACUAGAAUCAGGGCCUUAUUUUAUUCUUUGCUGGAUCUCCAGCAGCUAGGAAGUGUCUGAUAGAGAGUCCUUGCUCAAUAAAUAUUUGUUGAAUAUAUAAAUGCAUACUGCAUAUAAAAAUGUUCACUGGAGUAUUAUAAAAGUGCAAAAUCAGAGACAAUACAAAAUGUCUGUUUAUAUAGAGAAAGAAUGAACAUGCAUACUCGUAUAAUGGAGUAUUAUUCAGCAGUUAAAAUAAAUGAACUAGAAAUCCACGUAUAAAUCUCAAAAACAAGUGAAAAACGCAAAUCACAGAAAGAUAUGUACAAUGCAACUUAUAUAAAGUUCUAUAUAGAGUUUAUCAACAUGUGAAACAAGGAUAUGUGUUAAGUAUAAAAUUAUACGUGCAUGGAAUGAUGCAUUCCAAAUAAUCGUUGCCUUGGGGAAAAGAGAAGAGAAUGUUAUCAGGAAAAGAUUUGCAAGGGAGCUUCAACUCAAUCUGUAAUAUUUUAUUUCUGAAGUUAACAAUCUGGAACAUGGCAAAAUGUUAGGAUUUAAUAGGACUAAAUAUUACUUGUUACAUUCUUUGUAUUUUUAUAUGUUAGAAUCAAUUAUAAUUUUUUAAAAAGUAAAGUAGGAUUGAUAAAUAAAUCUAAGAAUGCAUACAAAAAACAACUAAAUAAAAUAAAUAACUAGUUUACCUAAUCAAGAAAGAAGAUGUGUACAGAAGAUGAUCAAUGAAGAAAGUCAGUCAAGGUAUAUAGAAGAAAUUAAGAGAACACUUUCUACAACUCUACGCAAACACAUUGAAAAGAAAACCUCAAUGAAAUGGAUGCUCUUUCUAGAAAAAUCACAAAUUAUAAAAAUUGAUGAGAGAGAGAAAGACACAGUAAGGGAAAAAGUGGCAGAGAAAUUUCUGUCAAAAAAAUAAAAUUUCAGGCCUAGAUAUAUCUACCACUAAAUUCUUUCAAAUCUUUGAGGAACAGAUUUCUUUUGUUAUUUAAACUUUUCUAUAGUAUAAAGACAGAAAAAGAGUCCUUUCUUUUGGCAUUAUUUGAAAAAGCUAUAUUUUCAUAAAGAAGAUUAAGAAUUCCUAUUGUGUCAACCAAAAACACAACAAUAUUUAGAGUUUUAAUGUUUAAAUGUGACAGUUCACAGAAAAGGAAAUACCAAUGGCUCAAACAGAUACCAAAGCUUAUUUGUGAGUGAAAAUACAAAAUUCUACUGAGAUUUAACCUCCAGAGAAUAAAAUACCAUAAUUCAACUAAUAGACUGGCAAAGAUCAAAAUGUUAGAUAACACUGUUUAACAAAUAUCUGAGGAAACAGGCAAUCUUACACAUUGUUGGUAGGAAUGUAAAUCAACACAAUCCUUACAGAAAGCUAUUUGCCAACGUCUAUUAAAAAUAAGAAUGCACAAAUCUUCUGACCUAGUAAUUCCAAUUUAAAAUUUUAUGCAGUAACUCACGUGCAGUAUGAUCUAUGAAAAAGGUUAUUAAACGCAGCACUAUUUACAAUAGCAAAAUUGGAAAGAAUUAAACUGUUUGUCAGCAGCGACUGCUCAAAUAUAUUAGUACAUCCAUACAAUGAAAUACUAUGCAGUUGUAAAAAAAAAAGAAUCAAGAAACUCUUUACAGGGGCCACCCCGUGGCUGAGUGGUUAAGUUCGCUCGCUCUGCUUCGGGGGCCCAGGGUUUCACCGGUUCGCCUCCUGGGCACGGACAUGGCACCACUGGUCAGGCCACGCUGAAGCAGCAUCCCACAUGCCACAACUAGAAGGAUCCACAACUAAACAUAUACAACUAUGUACCAGGGGGCUUUGGGGAGAAAAAGGAAAAAUAAAAUCUUUAUUUUUUUAAAAAAAAACCUCUUUACAUACUGAUAUGGGACAAUCUCAAAAACAGCAUUUUAAGUGGAAAAGACAAGCUGAAGAACAGUGUGCACUGCAUGGUACCAUUUAUGAAAAAUAUCUCCAGAAGGACACUUGAGAAACAGAUAAUAAUUCAGGGAGGGGGAACUGGGCUACAAAAAGGAAGGGAAUUUUUCACUGCAUAUUAUUCCAUGUUUUUUGAAUUUUGAACUAAAUGUUACUUGUUUUGAUGAAAAAAUUUUUCCUGAAAGACAAAAUUUUGGAAUAAAAACUGUAACAGCCCAACAGAAAUACAAAAUUCUUUUAGGGAAAUUCGAAGUAAGUACUAUAUUUCUUUCAUCUGAUGGAUAAACUUUUCCACAAUUCCAUUCAGUCUUUCAGGCUCCAUCAGUUUAUUUACCAAUUCCUGCUCAACAGCCAUUAGGGCCAGGCCACUAAGCUUCACUUGUCCCAUGGUACGACAUAAAUAUGUUUUAAGACGAGGCAGUGUAGAAAAUGAGUUUUCAGCACUUGCUGAAGUAAUCGGCCAAGACAAAGCAAUGUAUAAUAGCUUUGAUAUGCAAGGAAUAUUAUUGUGAAGACCAUGCUGAAUAAACAAAUAGCCAAGAUUGAUGAAAUUGAUACAAUCAUAAUCUAUGACAAAGUUGAGCUUUGCAUAUUGCCGAUAAAAUCUAAGUUCUGGAAUGAUGUCUGCAUCAAGUUUAUAAAAUUCUUGGACAUGUUUGGCUGUUGCUUCAUUUAAUGGUUCAUGCCAUUUAAAUAACAGUUCUGAAAUCUGCUUCACUUUGCAAUAAUCAAACUCUGAAAAACAUAAUUUUAAAUUUUGUAAUAUAGUAUCCAAUCCUUGGUAAUAAAUAUUAAUUUUAUAUUGUUCUUCUGUUGAGGUAGGAAAAAACAUACUAUCUGAAUUGCCAAGAUCUAUUGUUUUCUGAAUUUUUCUUUUUUUCUGAAAAGAAGGUCUUUCAACUUCAAAACCUUUACAGGUUAUUUUCUGACAUAUUUCCUCUGCUCCAUCCCAGACAGUUUUGAAAUACACAUCACUUCUUUCAGAUGAUAAACAUUCCAAAAUUGCUUCUAUUUUUGAAGACAAGGAGAAAAUGUCUAUGGUUUCACUUUGAAGCUCUUUGGAAAGAAUUCCUGUAACACUUAGCACCCGAUAAAGAAAUUUCAAACAAAAGAUAAAUUCAAAUUUGGAAACCAAUGUCAACAAAUCAUUCAAUUCAUCGGCCAAACUUGUGUUUGAAGAAUGGCUUGAUACAACUUCCAGUGUUUCAAUAAUCUCUGGAAGACCCUCAAUCACAGAUAGUAAUGUACGAUCAUGGAUUGUCCAACAUGAAUGUGAUGUAUGUUUCUUGCAUGUUUUGUUUUGACUUAGCUUACAAAUGUUUCGAAAAUUUGCUGUUACUGAAGAAACUGUACCUAUUAA